AAUGGCGACAAUCACGUUGUUCGAUGUGGGUCUUGCUGCGUCAUUAAAACUAUUCACGUAAACACGGGAAUGAAACGCGCAAAAUGCAAAACCAGCAAAACGAGUUGUUUACAUGAAGCGGAGGGAGAAGGAGAUAGGGAGGAGCCUCCUCCGGCGGGCUACGCGACUGGACUGCUGGAGAGCCUUCGCGCGCUGAGGGUGGAGCCCCAAGAACCAUAACAAGUCCGACGUCAGCUAUUUGGUGUCCAUAAAUUAUGCAGUUCAAACAAUACUAAGUAAACAGUGGUGACUUCGACCAAUUAACAAGGUUUUAUUAUUUUGGGCUACAUGUAUCUGUUGUAUAGAAAAUGAUCUUUCAAAGAGGUUUACAAAAAGCUGAUAUGCUCCAUUAGUUACACUUGUAUUGGUAGGUAUUACAUUCAUAUGAGGUGAGAAAGAAACAUCUUACUAAUGGUAGUAAAAUUCCUUUCUAGAAUUCUGUAAUGCCUGUGUUGAAUUCAUAGCACAUACACAAUUCAUUAUUAUAUCCUGUGAAUAAUUACAAAGCUUUGCAGGUUUUGGUAACCUAUUAGAGAAACCUAUUUACAUUACUUCUGCAUACAAUUGUGUUCUCAUUCUUGUAAUGUGAUACCAUGAAAUACAUAAAUACAGACAUGAUAUUUGGAUUUUACGUAUUGCCUAUGCAUGAAGUAAAUGCACUUUCUGCAAUGUCCAAAGGCACCCCCACCUUCCUGACCCUAUACAGUGUCAUGUCAUUCUAAGUCCCUUUUUUGGCACGAUUCCAUCUGCAAAAGAACAGUGUGACUGACAAGAUAUUAUUGUUGCUCUGGGCUCCAAGUCAUGUGUGUGUGUGUGUCUGUGUGCGCGCGUGCGAGCGUCGUAUCAUGUGUGAGCCUGGCAUCAUGAAGACGGAUGUCAUCUGACCCCUUGGACCACCAUGGCUGAUGUUGUGCGGUGCUGGAACCCAGACUGACGGGGCUGCUGUCUCUUGGCUCCUUAACAUGACAUCCAGGCUGCCCUGGUUCAGUUAUCACUGUGCUGAUGCUGUCCAUCUUAAAGGUACAGUACUGUGAUAACUGAAGGAUGGCUGCCACCUUGACACACCCGACCCACUUUGUGAUGAUGGAUGGAGGGAGAUGGUACUGCUGUGCGGUUUGUCAUUGGUAGCACUGGUGCUCCCAACUUUAAGAAGUUAGGAGAACAACAUCACAUUUAGGAGCACCAGAAAAUACGAAUUUUCAACUUGAUUGAGAUAUAACCUAUAUUGGGUCUACAUGAAUUCUAGCUACUUGAAGCACAUGCUAUGCUCUAUAAACGAAUAUUUAACCCUGUAAAGACAGUUGUUUAUUAUAAAAAGCUAUAAAUGGUUAUACAAAUACCUGUUAUUGAAAUUACAAAGUUAUUUGUAGAAUAAUAGAUUUCUACAUUGUGUAAAAGCACUAUUUUCACAUCAGCAUACUGCAGUGCAAUAUCACAUGCACCCCUGCCAAUAAAGACUAGGGUGGGUCAAUUUGUUUUGUAAAUUCUUAAAUUGAAAUAAAAAAUAAAGUUGGUUCGGGGAGUAUUCUAAGGGUGAUUAUUAGGAUGCAUAAACAUGAUUAGUGCUUUCCCCCCACAAUUCUGGCCUUCAAAUUGGCAUAAAUAAGGAGGAUAGCUUAGCGGGCGGCAGGUAGCGCAUCUGUUAAGGCUGUUGGGCCAGUAACCGAAAGGUCACUAGUUCAAAUUCCUGAGCUGACUAGGUGAAAAAUCUGUAGAUGUCUCCUUGAAAAAGGCACUUAAACCAAGUUGCUCUUGGCAAAGAGUGUCUGCUAAAUGAUAGGUUACUACUGUUGGCCAGAGUCUGGAAUAUUCUGAUUGGAGAGAGAAAGAGGCUUGGUUGAAACCUACUGCCUUUAAUAGAAACAGCUCUUCUCUAAUUCUCUAGACUACUAGAUAUUUAAGGUUCAUAAUAUAAACGUUCUCCAUUUGAAAAAAUAUUAUUUUCCAUAUCAUUCUUAUUCGUGCUUAUAUUUGAAUGUACUAUUUUAUUUGUUCCAAGUUAGCUCACAGAUUUGAGGGUUUGUUAAUUAAGAUGAGUGAGGAGAUAUUGUGCGUAUCCACGUUCUCCCUACUACAAGCCUUGCUCAACUUGUCACAAACCGCCGUCACAAACCACCGCCUCUAAAGCCCGGGACAAACCAAAAGAGUCAUUGGCGGCGGUGUGCCAAUCAUAACAUGAGAAUUCUUUACCCACCUGUCCCCCGGGGUAGUUACGCGCCUGACCAUUACACUACCGAAUCUAAGUUCGUCUUUUUCUCUGGUCCACUCCGAAACAGCAUUACAGCGAAGGAUAAUUACAACAACAAUUAUUAUCUGGGUGAUUUUUUACAAGGCAAACAUUUUUUUUUUUUAAAUCAAGGUUGCACAACAAAAUAUUUAGGAUCAUAUGCAACCAUAUGUCUCACAUUACAAUGUUGUGUCUGAUUUUCAAUUGUAAUACUUUAUGAUUCACAUUGUCCAAUGAGUGUAGCCUGUGUUUUUCCCAUUUUAUUUGAAUAGAACUGUUAUUUUAUGUAGAAAGAGUUAUGUAUUACGUAAUAAGUUGAAGGGGAACAAACGUAUGUUUGUAGCAUUUGAAUCAUUCAUGUUUUUAAGAAAAUGCAAAUAAAUCGGAAAGAAACUGA